UCCCCAGUAGUUCAGUCGGUAGAACGGCGGACUGUUAAUCCGUAUGUCACUGGUUCAAGUCCAGUCUGGGGAGCCA
rnacentral:tRNA from 21 species